GCCUUUUUCACUUCAUCUUCAUGCUGUACUCCCUCACUCACACAUUCUUUUAUGCUCUGUUGUAAGGCAGAAACUGAGAGUUUGCAUGAUGGUAUUUUCUCAGACGCUGAAUCUGAUGUGUACAGAUGAACUCAGGAGCCUACUAGAGUUGCCAAGGAACUUGUGCUUGAACUGAAGACCAGAAACGCAAAGAAAAUCAGUCAAACCAGUCCUAAAGAAAUGAGGAAUGAACAUGGACUUCUUGUGCCCCAAAAGAAAAGACAGAAAGCUCCUAAAAUGAGCAAAUAAGCUGUGCAUCAUCUCUGUGAUUUGGGAAGGAAAUGAGUGAAUAU